AUCUGGGUGGCUCAGUGGUUGAGUGUCUGACUUCAGCUCAGGUCAUGUUCUCGUGGUUUGUGAGUUCGAGCCCCACAUCAGGUU
rnacentral:tRNA from 1 species